ACNUGCAGUCGANGGUGGUAGCAAUACCAUAGUGGCGCACGGGUGCGUAACGCGUAACCAACCUACCCAUCACUGGGGGAUAGCCCGCCGAAAGGCGGAUUAAUACCGCAUAACAUCAGGUGGCGGCAUCGUCUCUUGAUUAAAGAUUUAUUGGUGGUGGAUGGGGUUGCGUGCCAUUAGCUAGUUGGGGGGGUAACGGCCCACCAAGGCGACGAUGGCUAGGGGAGCUGAGAGGCUGGUCCCCCACACGGGCACUGAGAUACGGGCCCGACUCCUACGGGAGGCAGCAGUAGGGAAUAUUGGGCAAUGGCCGAGAGGCUGACCCAGCCAUGCCGCGUGCAGGACGAAGGCUUUCUGAGUCGUAAACUGCUUUUGCCAGGGAAGAAUAAGGGGGAUGCGUCCUCCGACGACGGUACCUGGUGAAUAAGCACCGGCUAACUCCGUGCCAGCAGCCGCGGUAAUACGGAGGGUGCAAGCGUUGUCCGGAUUUAUUGGGUUUAAAGGGUGCGUAGGCGGCUUUUUAAGUCUGGGGUGAAAGCCCGUUGCUCAACAACGGAACUGCCCUGGAAACUGGAGAGCUUGAGUACAGACGAGGGCGGCGGAAUGGACGGUGUAGCGGUGAAAUGCAUAGAUACCGUCCAGAACCCCGAUUGCGAAGGCAGCUGCCUAGACUGUAACUGACGCUGANGCACGAAAGCGUGGGGAGCGAACAGGAUUAGAUACCCUGGUAGUCCACGCCGUAAACGAUGGAUACUCGCUGCCGGCGCUACACUGUCGGUGGCUUANCGAAAGCGUUAAGUAUCCCACCUGGGGAGUACGCCCGCAAGGGUGAAACUCAAAAGAAUUGACGGGGGCCCGCACAAGUGGNGGANCAUGUGGUUUAAUUCGAUGAUACGCGAG
rnacentral:rRNA from 1 species